rnacentral:misc_RNA from 1 species
UCCCCCUUGUGGGGGGCUGUCUCGCUAGAGAAUGUAACUAGCGACAAGGGUUGCGCUCGUUGCGGGACUUAACCCAACACCUCACGGCACGAGCUGACGACAACCAUGCAGCACCUGUGGCGGCUUCCUGAGUUACCCCAAGAUCAUUCCCCUUUCGGGGUUUUACUACCGUCAUGUCAAGCCUUGGUAAGGUUUUUCGUUUAGCAUCGAAUUAAACCACACGCUCCACCGCUUGUGCGGGCCCCCGUCAAUUCCUUUGAGUUUUAGCCUUGCGGCCGUACUCCCCAGGCGGGAUGCUUAUCGCGUUAGCUGCGGCACAGGGGGGGUCGAUACCCCCUAUACCUAGCAUCCAUUGUUUAGGGCGUGGACUAC